rnacentral:rRNA from 1 species
AACGAACGCUGGCGGCAUGCCUAACACAUGCAAGUCGAACGAGACCUUCGGGUCUAGUGGCGCACGGGUGCGUAACGCGUGGGAACCUGCCCUUAGGUUCGGAAUAACUCCCCGAAAGGGGUGCUAAUACCGGAUAAUGUCUUCGGACCAAAGAUUUAUCGCCUUUGGAUGGGCCCGCGUUGGAUUAGCUAGUUGGUAGGGUAAAAGCCUACCAAGGCGACGAUCCAUAGCUGGUCUGAGAGGAUGAUCAGCCACACUGGGACUGAGACACGGCCCAGACUCCUACGGGAGGCAGCAGUGGGGAAUAGUGGACAAUGGGCGAAGGCCUGAUCCAGCAAUGCCGCGUGAGUGAUGAAGGCCUUAGGGUUGUAAAGCUCUUUUACCCGGGAUGAUAAUGACGGUACCGAGAGAAUAAGCUCCGGCUAACUCCGUG